GACGGGGACGGUGCGGUCCCACGAAGAAACUGAGGCAGGCGCGAAUCGUCGAGUGCGCCCGUGGCCCUGAGGGCAGGCGGAGACCCUGGUGGCUCCCAUACGCGUAACAGCACUCACUGCUCUUUGACGUUAGUGAAUAGAACGACCCACUGAUGAUCUCUUCUGGAGUUUUGGCGUGAAGCUAAAACUGGCAGCCCCUGGACUAAGUUCGGCAUAUAGACUAGAUUCGAUAUUUAGCCAUUAUGUACCCUGCACCAUAUUGAUGGUUACAAUGUUGAAAUAUUUCGAGGGUAAAUAGUAUCAUGGUAAUUACAAUAAAUGUUACAAUUAAUAGAAAUUUUAAUAUAAA